rnacentral:rRNA from 1 species
CGUAGGCGGCCUCCGCAAGUCAGUUGUGAAAUCUCCGAGCUUAACUCGGAAAGGUCAACUGAUACUGCGGGGCUAGAGUGCGGAAGGGGCAACUGGAAUUCUUGGUGUAGCGGUGAAAUGCGUAGAUAUCAAGAGGAACACCUGCGGCGAAGGCGGGUUGCUAGGCCGACACUGACGCUGAGGCGCGAAAGCUAGGGGAGCGAACG